UACAAAAAAAAUAUUUCAUAGUUCAGCAAUACUGAUCAAUCUAAUAAACUUAGACCUACACCAUCCUCCCUAUUCUGGUAUUUUAAAGAGUACUUAGCGUAAAUAUUAAGCAACCUAACUAAUAGGGUUCCAACUCCCAGCAACAACAAAAAUAAAUAAAUAAAAAAUAGGGAACCACCCCUCACGCGCCACCUCAUGAUGCUUAAUCGACGUAAUCAACCUUAAUUUGAUGCAGUGUGAAAAAAAAUGCACAGAAAUCAAUUCUUUUUCAAGAAAUAUUAAAUAGAUUCAACAUCUUUCUUCAACAAAAUUGCAGACUGCACAGAUGGUACCUUCCCAAAGGAAAAAGUACUAUAGCUUACUAGGGUAUAUAUAUUAGACUUAAUAGUCACUAUGUACAGUAAUUGACUUCUAUUCAUUUUACAUCAAAUUAAAACUUUGGGUGUCAGAUAAUUAUUUAUUAAAAGCUAGACAUUUUAAAUGAGAAUAAGAAAGAAAAGUAUGUCUUUGUGCCCCCUUUUCCCAGUUAAUGCCCUAUCGGCCCCCCUGGCUAAACUUUGCUAGAUCCGCCCCUGCACAGUUACCAGCCAUCAGCUACGUAGAAAAAGAUCCUCGAGUAGAAAGUAAUAUUAAAUAAAUUCUAACAACAGCUUAUCAAGCUUAAACGUGCUGCUGUUGUUCAGCCGCUGGUUUCCUCUUUCUGGUGCAAAGUGGGCCAAAAACAAACCAGAGAGACGGACUCGCGACAGAAAAGCCGAUCAGCUGAUCAUUUAAGCAGUUUCACGAUUGAAGUAGCAGCCGGAGAGCGAGAGGCAGUCGCUUGUUAAGCUUAACGUGGGAAUGCUUUACAAACAUUCAGAGAUGGACUUACACACUUGCUUUACUUCUCUCGGGGAUAACUUUGUCGGAGAUGAAAUGCCAGGUUGCUAGCGAAGCUCCACAUGCUAUCCAGACCACCGACAGGUCCCGCAUGCCACAGCUGCUCUAUCACGUGAUGCAUACGUUCUGAGGCUUAUUCUGAUGGAGAGAGUAGCCAUACAAGCAGGCAGGAUUUCACAGAAACGUUGAAUUCUGACAAAUGUGGUGAAAUUUCUAAAGACGUUACCUCAGCCAUUCCCAUUGUUAACACACAGUCCAUGUCUGUUGAUGAUGAGGUCAUCUGUUGCGUUGCUACUGCCACUGUCAGUGACAACACACCUGGCGUAUCAGUGGGUUCUUCUGCCAGUGUUACUGGUGACACACGUGUCUUCUCUAGUAACACCUCCAGUGUGUCCAAUGGACCUACCCAGCCAAGUUUAUCCAGCACAUCCUACAGUACAUAUCUUGGCCUGUUUGAGGAAGAAUACCUGUCAAAUGACCCCGACCUCCAAGAAGCCAUUUCAAGGUCUUUAGACGUGCAAGUAAAAGAAAAGGAGUCACCUACUAUCUAGUUUUGGAUCAGUUUGAAUAAGCAAACUACAAACUGCAACCUACGAUUUCUGUUGUCGUUUGAAGAUUACCAAGGCUAUCAGAUUAAUUAUAUUUUACUUGAUAUAUGUUUUGGUUUAUUUUUAGUGGCUUUAGUGAAAUGUUAGAUACAAAGGUUUGAAUCUGUAAAAAGAAUAAAGAAAAGAAUAUCUGGUCAUUAAACUUCUGUGCUAAUACUCUUAUUUUAUAACUCUGACCACCUGCAGCCUCUAUGAUAGUCAUUACUAUGCUGUCAUAGUUUUGAUUUCGGGCUGCUGUAGCAUUGUCCUCUCUUAUUUGCAACCCUGUCCUUAUUUUAACUCCAUCUGGUUUUUGGCUUUGACUGAUUGGAGAUAAUGAAUUGUAUUAUUUUUGCACCACACGUUGGCUAGCUUGACAUCAUAAGUGAUGUGAUAACACAACUGCAAGCAGUGUCAUCAUGCUGGUAGAAACUUGCCUUUUUUUAAAAUUAUGUAGCAGUUAUUUAUAUACUUAGCAAACACAUGUCCACACAACAAAGGUAUUUUCCCUAUUUACAUUUCCAUGCUGUGAAUAAAUAGUAUAGAGUAUUUUGUUGUUUAUGUAUAUUUGUUGUUUAUGUAUAAUUAAGCAUUUUCUGCUCUGGGAGGUUAAAAAAUUGAAGCUUGAUGAGCUGUUCACAAAAAAUGGAAUGACCAGUGUUGUGGCUAUUGUGCUUUUUUCAUAAAAUAUAAUAAAAAAAAAACCCUGCUGCUGUGGAGUUGGGGCGGUCUGCUUCUUUCCACCCCAGGGAAGAGGGUAACACUACCUGGGUCUGGGUGCAGUUUUCCCCUCCAGGGGCAAGGGUACCUACACCUGGAGUAUAGAGUACGCUUGGG
ensembl:lncRNA